UACGUAGGUGGCGAGCGUUGUCCGGAAUUACUGGGCGUAAAGCGCGCGUAGGCGGCUUUGUAAGUUAGAGGUGAAAGCCCGGGGCUCAACCCCGGAAUUGCCUUUAAGACUGCAUCGCUAGAAUUGUGGAGAGGUAAGUGGAAUUCCGAGUGUAGAGGUGAAAUUCGUAGAUAUUCGGAAGAACACCAGUGGCGAAGGCGACUUACUGGACACAUAUUGACGCUGAGGUGCGAAAGCGUGGGGAGCAAACAGG
rnacentral:rRNA from 1 species